UGAGCAACAGAAAGAUUUCUUACUGUCUUCGGCUUCUUUACAGUGCUGCCUUGUUGCAUAUGGAUCAAGCAGCAUUGUACAGGGCUAUGAAGGCAUUGAGAUUUGCUCUUCAAAGAAAGU
rnacentral:pre_miRNA from 12 species